rnacentral:rRNA from 1 species
AAUGAACGCUGGCGGCGUGCUUAACACAUGCAAGUCGCACGAGAAAGCCUUGGCUUGCCAGGGCGAGUAAAGUGGCGCACGGGUGAGUAACGCGUGGGUAAUCUACCCUCGAAUUUGGGAUAACAGCUCGAAAGGGUUGCUAAUACCGGAUAACAUCAUAGUUUCCUCGGGGAUUAUGAUCAAAGGUGGCCUCUACAUGUAAGCUACUGUUUGGGGAUGAGCCCGCGUACCAUUAGCUAGUUGGUAGGGUAAAGGCCUACCAAGGCGACGAUGGUUAGCUGGUCUGAGAGGAUGAUCAGCCACACUGGAACUGACACACGGUCCAGACUCCUACGGGAGGCAG